rnacentral:rRNA from 1 species
GACGAACGCUGGCGGCGCGCUUAACACAUGCAAGUCGAACGGAAAGGCCUGCUUUCCCUUGUGGAUUGCGGGUACUCGAGUGGCGAACGGGUGAGUAACACGUGAGUGAUCUGCCCCCAACUUGGGUAUAAGCCUGGGAAACUGGGUCUAAUUCCCGAUAGGACUGCAGGGUGGUGCCUGUGGUGGAAAACGAUUUUCUAGUGGUUGGGGAUGAGCUCGCGGCCUAUCAGCUUGUUGGUGGGGUAAUGGCCUACCAAGGCGGCGACGGGUAGCCGGCCUGGGGGGGUGGACGGCAACAGUGGGACGGAGAUACGGCGCAGACGACUACGGGAGGAAGCAGUGGGGAAUAUGGCACAAUGGGCGGAAGCCUGAUGCAGCGACGCCGAGUGGGGGAUGACGGCCUUCGGGUUGUAAACUCCUUUCGACCGCGAGGAAGCCACCUGGUUGGAAGGGUGGUGACGGUAGUGGUAGAAGAAGCACCGGCUAACUACGUG